rnacentral:rRNA from 1 species
GACGAACCGUGCAAACGUUGUUCGGAAUCACUGGGCUUAAAGGGCGCGUAGGCGGGCUCUCAAGUCGGGGGUGAAAUCGUUCGGCCCAACCGGACAAGGGCUUCCGAUACUGAGAGUCUCGAGGGAGGUAGGGGUCGAGGGAACUGGUGGUGGAGCGGUGAAAUGCGUAGAUAUCAGGAGGAACACCGGUGGCGAAGGCGCACAUCUGGCCCAAUACUGACGCUAAAGCGCGAAAGCCAGGGGAGCAAACGGG